rnacentral:lncRNA from 1 species
GGGGUAGUGGCAUGAGCACUAACUUUGGUGGUGGCUGUGGCAGUGCCAGUGGUUUCCUAGUGGCCAGGUUGCAGUUCUGAAGCAGAGGAGCGGUCAGUGUUGGGUGGUGGCACUGACAUACAGUAAAGACACAGUCUGAUGCAGCAACGGAGACUCCUCCCUCAGCUACAGUGGAAUUUGGCAAUCGACCUAGAAAAUGAAGAGGAUGUGCACACUAAAGAAUCCAGAGUAGACUGGCCAUGCUGGGACCUGGAGGAGCUGAACAGGGAGCCAGCCUUUCUGGUAAGCCACACAAGCCAUGCGGGGUCUGCAAAGAGAAAAGUCAGCGCCUCUAGUGAGCCUG